rnacentral:rRNA from 1 species
UAGAGUUUGAUCCUGGCUCAGGGUAAACGCUGGCGAUGUGCCUAAGACAUGCAAGUCGAACGGGACUUUUUGUCUACACCAAGAGGGUUCUCUUCCUUUUGGUGUAGAUAAUUAGUUUAGUGGCGAACGGGUGAGUAAUGAGUACGAACGUACUCUCAAGCGGAACAUAGCUCGCCGAAAGGCGAGGUAAUUUUCCAUAGUCUCGCAAGAGUAAAGACGCAAGUCACUUGAGAAACGGCGUACUUGCCACCAGCUAGUUGGUAGGGUAACGGCCUACCAAGGCUAUAACGGCUAACGGCUCUUAGCGGAGAGUCCGUCACAAUGGGACUGAGACACGGCCCAUACUUCUACGGAAGGCAGCAGUUAGGAAUCUUGCGCAAUGGACGAAAGUCUGACGCAGCGACAUCGCGUGAAGGAUGAAGGCCCUCGGGUCGUAAACUUCUUUUAUUUUGCCAUGAAGGUAUUUUGAAUCAGCAACUACUAACUACGUGCCAGCAGUCGCGGUAAUACGUAGGUUGCAAGCGUUACCCGGUUUUAUUGGGCGUAAAGCGUCUGUAGGUUGUUUUAUAAGUCUUGUUUCAAAGACUCCGGCUCAACCGGAGGCAGGGGCAGGAUACUGUAAGACUAGAGUGAUAUCGGGGUUACUGGAAUUUUUAAUGUAGGGGUAAAAUCCGUGGAUAUUAAAAAGAACACCAAGCGCGAAGGCGGGUAACUAGGUAUAUACUGACACUCAGAGACGAAAGCUAGGGUAGCCAAUCAGAUUAGAGACCUGAGUAGUCCUAGCUGUAAACUAUGUAUGUUAAUUUUCUGUAAUUUAUUAUGGGAGAUGUAAGCUAACGCGUUAAACAUACCGCCUGGGGAGUAUAGCCGCAAGGCCGAAACUCAAACGAAUUGGCGGGGAGGCGCACAACCAGUGGAGCAUGUGGUUCAAUUCGAUACGAAGCGAUGAACCUUACCUGGGUUUGAAAUGUAUCUGCAAACCCCCAGAAACGGGGGAAUCCUUAGAGGGUGAUACACAGCUGUUGCAUGGCUGUCGUCAGCUCGUGACGUGAGUUGUUCUCUUAAGUGAGGUAACGAGCGCAACCCCCAUCCGGUGUUAUUGUGUCACCGGAGACUGCCUAGCAUUAUUUUGUUAGGAGGAAGGAGGGGACGACGUCAAGUCAGCAUGAUGCUUAUGUCCAGGGCUACACACAUCCUACAAUGGGGAGUACAAUGGGUUGCGAAACCGCGAGGUGGAGCCAAUCCCACAAAACUCUCCUCAGUUGGGAUUGCAGGCUGAAACUCGCCUGCAUGAACCCGGAAUUGGUAGUAAUCGCGCAUCAGCAGCGCGCGGUGAAUACGUUCUCGCCUCUUGCACACACUGCCCGUCAAAUCAACAAAGUUGGGGGUACCCGAAGCCUGGCCUUUGGCCGGAUCAAGGUAAAUCCAGCGAUGAGGGUUAAGUCGAACAAGGAACCAAGGGGAAUCGCGCCCAUCU